CUGCGGAGGGAUCAUUACAAGUGACCCCGGCUACGGCCGGGAUGUUCAUAACCCUUUGUUGUCCGACUCUGUUGCCUCCGGGGCGACCCUGCCUUCGGGCGGGGGCUCCGGGUGGACACUUCAAACUCUUGCGUAACUUUGCAGUCUGAGUAAACUUAAUUAAUAAAUUAAAACUUUUAACAACGGAUCUCUUGGUUCUGGCAUCGAUGAAGAACGCAGCGAAAUGCGAUAAGUAAUGUGAAUUGCAGAAUUCAGUGAAUCAUCGAAUCUUUGAACGCACAUUGCGCCCCCUGGUAUUCCGGGGGGCAUGCCUGUUCGAGCGUCAUUUCACCACUCAAGCCUCGCUUGGUAUUGGGCAACGCGGUCCGCCGCGUGCCUCAAAUCGUCCGGCUGGGUCUUCUGUCCCCUAAGCGUUGUGGAAACUAUUCGCUAAAGGGUGUUCGGGAGGCUACGCCGUAAAACAACCCCAUUUCUAAGGUUGACCUCGGAUCA
rnacentral:rRNA from 1 species